AAUUGCUCAAGACAGCCAUUGAAAAGGCUGGAUACACAGGCAAAGUUGUCAUUGGAAUGGAUGUUGUUGCAUCUGAGUUUUAUGGAUAAGAUAAAACCUAUGAC